UUUUCAAUCUCCUCCAUUCUUAAUAUAUGAAUUAUAAAUGCCUAAGAAAUUUAGAAGUGCAUGAUUGCAUUAAGCUUUAAACAAGUAUGUCUAGCAAAGAAGUGUUUUACAAUUGGGUCAGACAAAUAUCUAUAUCACCUAAUUUUUUAGGUUUAAUAAUCUUGUUCCAACUAAUCAUAUCGAUAGAUUGAUCAUCUUAUCUUGCCAAAUCAGUAUUAAUAAAUAUUAAUAUUUCAACAACGUCAAAUAACAUUGGAUGAUAUUUUCUUUAAGGAAAACUUGCUCAAAGAAUUCUACAAUCAAUCCUGACCAGGUGUGCAUGUAAGUAGGACAUGUUCAUCUUCUAAUUCAUGUUACAAGAUAUAUCUAAAAGAUUGUAUCUACAUUUUAUUUCUCUCUCCUCUCUUAUGUAUUACUUUUAACUUAAAUAUUAAGAUAUAUAUAUAUUUUAAAUAUUUAUUUUGAAAAGUGUUGAAUAUACCAAAGCCAUGGAGUGUUGAAGAGAAAUUUAUGUGUUGUAAAUUUUUUAUCACAAUGUUAUUAUCAUAUUGAUAUAGAGAACCACUGUUUUUCUUUUCU
rnacentral:lncRNA from 1 species